UGGGGGAUAUUGCACAAUGGGGGGAACCCUGAUGCAGCGACGCCGCGUGAAGGAGGAAGUGCUUCGGCAUGUAAACUUCUAUCAGCAGGGAAGAAGAUGACGGUACCUGACUAAGAAGCCCCGGCUAACUACGUGCCAGCAGCCGCGGUAAUACGUAGGGGGCAAGCGUUAUCCGGAUUUACUGGGUGUAAAGGGAGCGUAGACGGCAAUGCAAGUCUGAUGUGAAAACCCGGGGCUCAACCGCGGGAUUGCAUUGGAAACUGUAUAGCUCGAGUACUGGAGGGGCAGGCGGAAUUCCUGGUGUAGCGGUGAAAUGCGUAGAUAUCAGGAGGAACACCGGUGGCGAAGGCGGCCUGCUGGACAGAAACUGACGUUGAGGCUCGAAAGCGUGGGGAGCAAACAGG
rnacentral:rRNA from 2 species